UAAAGCUUUUAAUCAUUUGAGUCCUUUUACUAAAGUUUUUGAGCAUUUGAGUUUGCAACAUUUUAAAUUCUAUUUAUAUUAACAGGUGGUGGCAUGAGUUCUGACCCUGGGGCAUGAGAGUAACUUGGUGGUUGGACCUGGCUGAAGGUGGCUGCCUCCUCCUUUUAUCCUUAUGGUAGCUGGUGGGUGCCAUACGUGGUGUUGUGUAAGGGGAACCCCCCCCCCCCCCCCCCGUGUUCGGCCCAUAAAUUGGUGGUGUCCUGCUCAGGUGCACCUCUUCUGUUUUGUAUUUUCUUUUAAUCACUGUUUGGGUUGUGGUGUGUUUUUGUGUGCAUUUGGGCCCUGAGCAGGUACUCCUGGUGAGGGUUUGGAUCAGAGAUCUCCCUUGGUGGUGGUGUUUGGGGCUACCCACCAGUGCAGUGGGGUUGAGGCGAUCUGGAGGCAGCCGCCCUCAUGCAGUGUUGGAGUGCGGUCCAACUGUCUUAGUUUAUUUUAACCUUUUUUAUGGAACUUGUGUCAAGUUUUUAAUAAAUGGUAUAUUUUUAACCACUACCAAAUCCAGUCUCCAUUUGGUGUGCAAAUGUAAGAGGGCAUUCGGUCACAUUUUCAUAUGGCUUAUUGAAGUAUUUUGCUUCUAUCAAAUUUUGAAUUUGUAAAUUAUUCAUUUUUUCUUAACACGGUGGAUCACAAAACAUUAAGUUCUUUUUUUUUGCAUUUGAAAAAUGAUUAUUGCCUUUGAUAUUUAAAAAAUUAUGGUUGCUGUAAAUGAUAUCGAACUUAAAUGGCAAUUUGUUUUGUGCCUCAGUAACCACUUCUAUCCACCUCUGGUCAUAUCUAACACUUUUCAAUACUAUGAGCAUAAAAUCAUCAAUUCAGCUUUAUUAGGAUGUUUUCUUCAACAGUCUGGAUUUGCAUGGAUGGGGGAGAAUGCCAAAAGCUAUGAAGCCAAUGGGUGAAACUAAUUUAAAAAAACUGAAUUUCAGAUUUAAAGAUAUAUUAGGAACCUGGGAACUAAAAAAAAAAAAAAAA